UGUUUUUUUCAGAUGCAAACGUCGUUUCAAGAUAUUAGAAGGUUCGCCGAUUGUCAACUCGAAUUAGAACAGAAAUUAAAGAUUUUAAAUUUCAUGAAGAGAUUUGGUAAACAAUCUUUAUGUUUGACUGUUAGAGAUUACUUCAAAGUGACCAAAAAGUUUCCCAUAAAAAUGGCAAGUUCUCUUCAUUCCGUAUUUUCUGGUAUUCUAAAUCUAAACAAAUCUUUAAGCCAGAG